rnacentral:rRNA from 1 species
GACGAACGCUGGCGGCGUGCUUAACACAUGCAAGUCGAGCGAUGAAGCUCCUUCGGGAGCGGAUUAGCGGCGGACGGGUGAGUAACACGUGGGCAACCUGCCUUAUAGAGAGGAAUAGCCAUUCGAAAGGAUGAUUAAUACCUCAUAAUAUUGUAGCUUCGCAUGGAGCAACAAUCAAAGGAGCAAUCCACUAUAAGAUGGGCCCGCGGCGCAUUAGCUAGUUGGUGAGGUAACGGCUCACCAAGGCGACGAUGCGUAGCCGACCUGAGAGGGUGAUCGGCCACAUUGGGACUGAGACACGGCCCAGACUCCUACGGGAGGCAGCAGUGGGGAAUAUUGCACAAUGGGGGAAACCCUGAUGCAGCAACGCCGCGUGAGUGAUGACGGCCUUCGGGUUGUAAAGCUCUGUCUUCAGGGACGAUAAUGACGGUACCUGAGGAGGAAGCCACGGCUAACUACGUGCCAGCCGCCGCAGUAAGAC